rnacentral:rRNA from 1 species
CCUACGGGGGGCUGCAGUGGGGAAUAUUGCACAAUGGGGGCAACCCUGAUGCAGCAACGCCGCGUGAGUGAGGAAGUAUUUCGGUAUGUAAAGCUCUAUCAGCAGGGAAGAGAAAACAAGGUACCUUAAAAACAAGCCCCGGCGAACUACGCGCCAGCAGCCGCGGUAAUACGCAGGAGACAAGCCUUAUCCGGAUUUACUGGGUGUAAAGGGAGCGUAGACGGAAAGGCAAGUCAGAAGUGAAAAGCCAAGGCUCAACCAGGGGACUGCUUUUGAAACUGUCAGACUAGAGUACGGGAGAGGGAAGAGGAAUUCCUGGUGUAGCGGUGAAAUGCGUAGAUAUUGGGAGGAACACCAGUGGCGAAGGCGGCUUACUGGACCGAAACUGACGUUGAGGCUCGAAAGCGUGGGGAGCAAACAGGAUUAGAUACCCUAGUAGUC